UCCAUACUUUAAUCUACAUUUUGCAUAGUAGAAAUAUCAGUACAAGUAUAGGGUGAUUUGCCAAUGCCUUCAGAUAAUCUAAACAACCAAUCAAGUAGGACUCAGCUCCUCUGCAUUAUUUUUCCCCCCCUGGCAGUGGUUGGAAUAGCUAAUAUACUGCUAUUCAUAAUAAUUGGCAUAAACCUUCCUUGGCAAGAUCCCCUCAUUAGUUUUAACUUCACUUGAAUGAUUUUAAUCUUCUUGUUUUAUUUAUAAAUUGUGACAGUCAUUGGUACAUAGCCAAUCAGAUUGCCCAUUUUGCAAUGGAAAAGGUUCUGCCAUUGUUCUACUGAAAGAAAAUUACUGAGGCAUUUCUUGUUUUAUAUUUGUAAAAGCAUGCAAGGGUUUUCUAUUUUUCUACCUAGCAUUUUGCAAGAAAGCAUAUAAACAGGUUUUCUUGAUUUAUGAAAAACUAACAUCUACUCUAAAUAUCUUUGUGAGUAUAUGAUGCAGAUGGGAUUUUUGGAAAUCUAUACUUCUAUUUUUGUUCAUUUGAAAUUUGUAUUUGAUUAGGACUCUUUUGAUUUAGAAUAGAAUAGCCUAAAAUUUCUAGGUUUUCUAAUUUGUGUUGAUUUAAUUUUUCUAAUUUAUUGGUUUCUUAUUCUUCAAGAAUCAGGUUUAGGAUAUUAUAAAUAAAAUUAUAGGCUUUAUAGCUAUUCAGAGUGUUUUGUAUUCUUAAUAAAAUUUGGAGAGGUUUUUCUACCUAUUAUAAUUUCUUUGGUAUUUUGCGGAAUCAAUAAAGAUUUUGACGCCUUUAUGCCUGGUAUUCCUGUGUAUUCUUAGACUAAACAGAUUAUUAGACUCUGUUUGUGUUGAUCUUGCCCCGCAAUUUCUACUUCUAAUGCUUCUCUGCAUUAGUGGGUAUUAGAGUUUGCACUUGACCCCUGAUCAUGGUGCCAAUAGGAGCACCAAGUGGUUAGAAACCAUUGUUGAAGACGUGUACAAACGCACUGAAGCUGCACAGGUUGCAUGACUUGAGGUUAUAGAUGAGGAUCUUUGAGUUGUUCUUCACAUAAAAAAUUACUCUGGAAUCUGGAUCCAAUUGGGGAUUGGAGUAAACAGCCAAUUUUGAUGAAUAACCUAUUGUAGAAACUACAAAAGGUGAUCAUGAAUUGGAAAGUUCACAACACUUAAAAAGUCGUUUUUAAAGUUAACCAUAUUGGUUACCAGGAUGUGGUGUGUGUUCCAAGCCACGAAUGGUGGCAUUAACACAAGCUUUGUCAUUGUGACUAAAUUAACAACAUAGAAAUCUUUUGUGCAAGACUUUGAGGUGUGGCCUUUCAAGGUCUUAGUGGCACAUGGUUAAAAACCAAUGAUUGUUGUCACAUACAAAGAUGACAAAGAGCAGUUUGUCGUUAUUGUUGACUAUCCAUAUGAACAAGGAAGAUGGAUGUAUAUAUUAAAUGUAACAAGGAAGAUGGAUGUACAUAAUGAAUAUAUAUGAAGAUGUAAUGAAUGAAUGUGCCAUCAGUCUACCAUCGCAUGAAGCAGAUUGCAAUUUUGUCAGAAAACCCUAUGUAAAUCUGUGGUUUUCUUCAUGAGGAGGAGCUUUUUGAGGGUUGAGAAUGACAUACUGAGAUUGAGAGAGAGAAAGGGGUUGAGAAGUACAGAACACAUAAGAGAGAAGAAAUGUCUAAGUGAAACUGAAAAGGCUUUAUUAUAAUAAUAUUCGGUCCAUACACUGGUUGGUUGAGUCUGGUUCAGUUAUUUGUGCAGCCCUACUCCAUCCAGAGAAUCUUCUUCAUAUAUAUAUAUAUAUUUAUUUAUUUUAUGAUUGCAUCUUCAUAUAUAUAUGAUAUAUCUAUUCUAUUGUUUAUUCUGUUACAUAAAAGCACACAACCCAGAAGCUUUGUCAUGCUUUCUGGUAAUUGGUAAAACUCCACAUCCAGUAAAUGCUAAACAGUUUUUUAAUUCAAUCUUCAUUCAUUAAACCGCCAGAAGUUUAGAUGUGUAUUACAUGCAUCCAUUUUUGUUCCUACGUUUAACAUAUGCAUUCAAAUUCAUAUGGAUAUACACAACUUAUAUAUACAUAUAGAUAGUCAACAUUGAUUAUGAUUCAUCUCGUGUUGUUUCCAUUUGUGCUUCUUUUUCUUAUCUUGCUCAAGGAAAUAAUGUAUCUUCCAAAAUGCUAAGCAAAGAGUUGUUUAAGAUGCCUCUUGGUCAGAUGUCAAUUGGAUUAACCUUUGGAAGAUACUAAUUUGAAUCAAGAAAGAAACUUAUAUUUUCUAUUUAAUUGUUUGAUAGAAAAGAUACUUGAUAGAUUGCUAUAAAAAAUUAAUGUUGUACCACCCAUGAAAAAGCAUGUGUUUAUUUGGUAGUUAUGGUGACUGUUAAUGGUAUUGGUGGUAGGGAGCUUGAUAGUGGUGGUGGCACAGUUCUAGUGAUGACAAUAGUGUCAUGGUAAAAUGCCUCUGAUAGUAUGGGGUAGAGUGGUGAUGCCGAUGUGAUAUGCUCUGUUGCAAAAGGCAUCCAUAGGUUUGUCAAAGGUGAUCCUGGUAAUGGUGAUCUCGGUAUAGGUUUGGCAUGCAUGGCUGUAUGGUAAGCUCUACAGUGGAUCAGGUGAUUGAUUAGUAGGUGCUGGAGUAGCAUUAGUUCAUUGAUGAUUGUGACUGGAGUAUUGUAAGGAAUAAACAAUAGUUUUGCUUGACAAAAUACUAACAAUUUGUUUCAGCUAAAAUUUAAAUUUUUUUACUUUAGCUUUCAAAGGUGUACAUCUUAAUUCCAUUGUAAGAAAAUACUUUUUUUCUUGUCUCUGUAUUUUUAACCCCAAACGCUUAUGAAUAUCUUUGAAAUGCAAACUUGUUGGUUUUUCAAGCACCAACUUCUGUUUAGCAGUGGCCUUGCUGCCUUAAAAGUGUACUUCUUUUUUACUUUAGCUCUUUGGUAAGCAAGCAAUUUCAAAAUCACAUGGCACCAUUUGGAUAGCGUAUUGAAAGUGU